rnacentral:rRNA from 1 species
GUGUCAGCCGCCGCGGUAAGACAGAGGUGGCAAGCGUUGUCCGGAAUUACUGGGCGUAAAGAGCGCGUAGGUGGAUAGAUAAGUCCGGUGUGAAAUCCUUCGGCUUAACCGAGGAAUGGCAUCGGGGACUGUAUAGCUAGAGGACGGGAGAGGAGAGCGGAAUUCCAGGUGUAGCGGUGAAAUGCGUAGAGAUCGGGAGGAAGGCCGGUGGCGAAGGCGGCUCUCUGGAACGUCCCUGACGCUGAGGCGCGAAAGCGUGGGGAGCAAACAGGAUUAGAUACCCUCGUAGUCC